UCUUGCUUCAUUUACUGGGAGGGUCAACUGAGAUAAUAAGUCAGAAUGUGUUUUUAAAAUUCUGGAGCCCAACUGUAGAAAAAAUCUAUAGAAAAGUAAUUUUUUUCUUGAAACAACUGUCUUGUUGUGAUCAUGACCUAAUGGUGAUCACAAUUUCUAGAUAGAAGACUACCUCCAAAAGAUGCCCAUGGCUCUCCCAGGCUUAAACCCUCUUAUGGCAACCAUUGCCUCCUAUUGGGAAGCAGGGAGCAUAGCUUUUACACUGCACUGAAGAUAUCCUCUCCACUUCCUCCUGUCUCCAAUGACUGGUUGCCGUAUUCUUGUGGCUGACUCCUCUGAUGAAGACAGCGCUAAUUCCAGCAGAGGCACAACACAGAGCUGUCCCAGUAGCCAAGUGUAAACCAGCAGAGUUCUUUGAUCUUCAGCCUGCUGCAUUCUUUGGGUGGCCAAAACUUUGGAAGGACAAGCUGAAAGAGUAUGUCUGGUGUUUGGAAGCCAGGUCAGAGGACUUUUUCAUACUGGCUUCAAAGUAUCCUUCAUCUUCAUAAAUGAAGAAAGCUAUCUUGGAGCAAGGAAAAUGUCGGAAGUAAAGGUAGAAUGGAACACCAUUAUGUGAUAAUAUGUCUGAAGGACCCAGAAAUGCCCAGAUCCUGCUAUAAGGCAUAGUCACUACUCUGCUAGUUAGCAGCUUCUGAGAUAAUCAGACAAAGGAUGACGACAAAUGGGAAGCAAGGUUACUGUUGCCCAGGCUUUGCCUCAAUUUUCUUUAGUAGUAAACCUGGCAGAGUCUAAUACUCAUGUGCAAGGAGCAUUACCUCCCUCACCCAAGCUUAGAUCCUAGUCUUCUCUUCUCUCUACACCUUCUUGCCAAUGACAUAAUGGCGUAUCUGAGCCUCAAUCACACUUGAGAUGAGAAGGAUUUUUCUGUCCCCAUCUUAACUCUAUUUCUCAGCUACAUUCCCAUAUUUUACCACUACUCCCAUUCCUUCUUGGCUUUGCCAUGCCACACUCUCCUGAUUUUCUCUCUUUGUCCUUACCCCUCCAUUUAAGUUUCCUUUUCUGAUUCUCCCCUUUCCCCAUCUCUAAAUGUUAUGAUCCUCAAGGCUCAGUUUUGGAAUCUUUUAGUUUUUCUCCUCACAAUCUCUCUCUAGGAUGUGUCAUUCAUUCCUACAAAUGUAUUUAUUUUUAAUGUUUUAUUUGUAGAAAAGUUCAAACAAAACAAGAUUAAAUUUAGAUUAACUGACUACAAUAAACCAUAACUGAAUUGUACAUUUUAAAAUAAAGAGUGUAAUUUUGUUGUUUGUGAUGCAAAGGAUAAAUGCUUGAAGGGACAGAUACCCCAUUCUCUAUCAUGUGCUUAUUUCACAUUGCAUGGCUAUAUCAAAACAUCUCAUGUACUCCAUAUAUGUAUAUAUACCUACUAUGUACCCAUAGAAUAAAAAAAUAAUAAAUUUGGAUUGAACAUCCAUAUUCAACAAUUAUCAACAUAUGGUCAAUCGUAUUUUAUCUAAACUUCUACUCCCUGAUUUCUUCUCACUGGGUUAUUGUAA
rnacentral:lncRNA from 10 species